AUACUUACCUGGCAGGGGAGAUACCAUGAUCAACAAGGCAGUUCUCCCAGGACGAGGCUAUCCCAUUGCACUUUGGGUGUGCUGACACCUGCGAUGUCCCCAAAUGCAGAAUGCUUGACUGCAAAAUUUAUGGUAGUGAGGGACUGCGUUAUCAAAUAUUGUUUCUUU